CUCUUAUCGUGAGUUGGCAGAGGGAAUUGGCCCGAAGACGCCGCAGCAACCGACCAUCCGGCACGGUGCUACAUCCAACAGACAUUCGUCUGAGAGAUAAGAG
rnacentral:ncRNA from 19 species